GAGCCUACUACACUCAGGCUAUAUGGAAUGGCCUAUGGCUCCUAGUCUACAAACCCGUACUGAAUACUGCAGGCAAUUGUAAUGCAAUGUUCCUUGGGAAGACACAAAACCAUCACCACUAGAAAAUGCCUUUGACCAAGCCUUGGACAGAUGAAGACAAAGCGGAGCACACAUCACGAAAAGUGUCUGUCUCAUCCGCAGCCUGGCCUACCCUUCCCCCAUCAAGGUGGAGAAAAUCAACUUUCCAUAAAUUAUGCAGCCUUAAAGCAAGUGCUUCACUAUGCUGGGAGUUAACAACCUCAUUUGUAAAAUCAGUGGAUGAGACUAUCCUAGAAAAUGACCUUUAAGACCUUUUCCGGGUCUAACUUACACUUUACUAAGAGUGCCGAUUAAAUAAACUUGUGAUGAAAAAGC